AUGACUUUCACCGGCAGCACCGAUGGCCAGAGCGGCUCUGCAAGGGCCCACUUCGUGCUGGUACCGAUGCUAGCGCAGGGGCACACAAUCCCCAUGACCGAUAUGGCGCGCCUGCUGGCAGAGCACGGCGCGCAGGUUAGCUUCAUCACCACGCCAGUGAAUGCCUCCAGGUUGGCAGGCUUUGCAGCCGAUGUGGAGGCAGCGGGCCUGACAGUUCGGCUCAUGGAGCUCCACUUCCCGAGCGCCGAGUUCGGCCUACCGGACGGGUUCGAGAACCUAGACAUGAUCCAAUCCACGGAUCUGCUCUCCAAUUUCAUGGAUGCCAUCGCUGCGCUUCAGGAACUGCUCAAGGCAUACCUCCGUGAGCAGCAGCACUCGCCUCCAAGCUGCAUCAUAUCUGACCUGAUUCACUGGUGGACUGGUGACAUCGCAAGGGAGCUCGGUAUCCCGAGGCUGACCUUUAGUGGCUUCUGUGGCUUCUCGUCCCUCAUCAGGUAUAACUAUAAGAGGCAAAUCUUGUGA
rnacentral:rRNA from 1 species